GAAUCAAGACCCCAACAAGACCGAAGAAAAGAAGACUCAAGACCCCAACAAGACCACAGUAAAAGUGGAACAAGACCAAGAAGAAGAAUAUAUACCAGAACAAGACCAAGAAGAAGAAUGGCAAUUUAAAAGUAAAAGGAAAAAAAGGAAGAAGUCCAAAGAAAAUGACUCUGCAAACAAACAGCUUCGGCCGAAAUAGCCUAACGGCGAAGUGGCCAGUAAUUCCCAAACAAACUAAAAAAAACAUUGUGACGUCACUUGAAAGCCAUUUGCCUGCAUAUGUCGCUACUGCCCUCUGUGGAUAUCAAGCUUUUGUAGCCUUCCUUAACCAAUACAAGAGAGGACAGGUGCUGCCACGGGCGGCCGCAGGAUUUUUCCAGGGGGGCUGCAAGAAAGCAAGACAAGACCUGACAUAUCAGUUUAUUCAAAACAGCUGGUGACCGCCAAAUGCAAGCGAAAGCAUGUUGAAGUCGACUCGUUAACCGAGGGAUCACUGUACACAGUAGUAACUCUGCCUUGUUCAACUGAACAUGUCUGUCCCCAGCCCGGAUAAAGGAGGAGGGCUACUGCAGUGUUGCAGAUAUUAUCACCUCAUAAACUUUGUUUUCAGACCAAUUUAUAAUACAAGGUACAGUAACUAUAUUUACUAAGACCAUCAAUGUAGUAUUUUAGCUUUUUAUAGAUGGAUAGUAACGAGAAAUGAGAUAAUUUAUAUACAGGUAUACACUCACAAUUAAUGGUCACAAAACCAUGUUCAAUAAUGUAAGACUAAUCAUGUAGUACACAGUAUAUUAUGUUUUGUAGACAGGGAAUCUUGAAAAAUAAAAAGAAUUGUAUAGUUUAUUUUUAUUAUACACUACAUGUGUUAGUUUGCAAUAAGAGUCCAGAAAGAUUACUAAAGAACUUGUCAAAUUGCCUUAGUUUUGUGUUACACCUGCACUGUCUAGGUACUUAAUAGUUAACAUAAAACUACCUGAAUGUCUAGUAAUCAAUAAAUUAAAACCUUCAUUAUCUUGUAUUAGCGUAGGAGUUAAUCAGUGAACUUGCAACGGUUGGGAAAGUCUCACUAGAUAACAUUAUCCUUAUAUCUCAAGAUAAGCACAUUACCACUAUAACAUCUUUUCUCUGCAGAUGCAUUGUGAUGGAGGCAUCCUCACACUCACAUAAUCUGUCAAGCAUUUCCCAAUUCAACCUUUAUAAUGGACUCCACUUAAGGAUUAGUUUAUUACACUAAACCUUAAUGAUUUUGUCUGUCUUAUGUCAGGUUUUGGUCAUACACAAGAUUUAGUUUGAUCUAAUAAUGAAAGUCUUGUACUUCAUGAAUAAUUUUGACCAGGUACAGUUCAGACCAGAAUAUGGGUAUUUCUUUAUUUAUGCAAGUAACCAAAUCUAUUUAGUAUUCAUCACUUCCACCACUUGACAAUUUGCUAGCUUUUUGGGCAGGCGAGUAUGGUGAGGGAGUGAGUGGGUAGGGGUGUAAUAUUUGCUAGGUAAACAGCGUUCAACACCCUUCUCACAUCUGUCCCAGGAUGGAGUUUGUGCCCCAGGACAAUUUUGCGAGAUACACACACACACACUACCACCAACACCCACUGUACUUUAGUUCAAAUAUCAAAUUAUUUCGUUCAAAACGUUACAACUUUAAACAUGACCCUUGGAUUUCAAAGUCUUUACUUUGUGUGUUGUACAUAA
rnacentral:lncRNA from 1 species